AUUGAACGCUGGCGGCAGGCCUAACACAUGCAAGUCGAACGAGUGGCGGACGGGUGAGUAAUGUCUGGGAAACUGACUGAUGGAGGGGGAUAACUACUGGAAACGGUAGCUAAUACCGCAUACCAUCAGAUGUUCCCAGAUGGGAUUAGCUAGUUGGUGGGGAAACGGUUCACCAAGGCGACGAUCCAUAGCUGGUCUGAGAGGAUGACCAGCGCCCCUGGAACUGAGACACGGUCCAGACUCCUACGUGAGGCAGCAGUGGGGAAUAUGGCACAAUGGGCGCAAGCCUGAUGCAGCCAUGCCGCGUGUAUGAAGAAGGCCUUCGGUUUGUAAAGUACUUUCAGCGGGGAGGCGUUACCCGCAGAAGAAGCACCGGCUAACUCCGUGCCAGCCGCCGCGGUAAUUC
rnacentral:rRNA from 1 species